AGAGCCGGUGCGACGUUUCCCUUUCCAGCUUUGUUCUUCCGGCCCUGCUGUCUGCCUCCCCGGCUGAUUGGAUUCGUUACUGCUUUGCAACGCGCACCUAACUCCAGGUUAGCGGGGAUUAGUAAGAACUCAGCUCUGGGCCAGUCGGGAAGACAGAUAAGGAGACCAGUUAGUCAGCAUCCAGUGCUUGAAGAGUGCGGCCCCAGGUAGUGUGGGACCCGGAGAAAGAAGGCGGGAAAGCAUUUCAAAGAAGGCACAGAUUCGGCGCAGGCUUAGGACACAAAAA
rnacentral:lncRNA from 10 species